GUUUUAAUAGUUUAAUCAAAACAUUGGUCUUGUAAAUCAAAAAUAAAAAAUAUUUUUUUUAAAACU
rnacentral:tRNA from 1 species